UACGAAGGGUGCAAACGUUGCUCGGAAUUAUUGGGCGUAAAGCGCACGUAGGCGGCUUUGCAAGUCGGAUGUGAAAUCCCUCGGCUUAACCAAGGAAGUGCAUCCGAAACUGCAGAGCUUGAGUACUUAAGAGGAUCGCGGAAUUCCCGGUGUAGAGGUGAAAUUCGUAGAUAUCGGGGAGGAACACCAGUGGCGAAGGCGGCGAUCUGGGAAGAUACUGACGCUGAGGUGCGAAAGCGUGGGGAGCAAAC
rnacentral:rRNA from 1 species